UCUCAAAAUUUUUUACCUACACACUUCAAAAUACACAAAACACACACAAAUUCCUCCACCAUCCCAACCCAAUACACAAAACACACAUAAAAAAAAUUCCCUUCCCUUUGGCUUUCUUCUUCCUCUACCAUCCCAACCCAGUCCACCACCUCCGUCGCCGACCACCACUACCUCCCGCGCCAUUUUUUUUUUUUUUUUUGCCUUUCUCCCUUUCCCUGCCAUCCUCCUCCUUUAUCUAGUUUGACUGCCUUCCUCUUUUUUUUUUUGUGUGUCCCCCGCAACCCUCCCCCUCCCGCGACCAGAUCUGGUCCCAUGACCAGAUCGCAAAAGUGGAGGGAAGGGGAGCUGCGAUCUGUUCGCGCAAGGGCGACAAGGCUACUGAGGGUGACGAGGAUAGAUGAGGGGAGGAGAAAAAAGGGGUGGCCGGCAGAGGGGGUUGGCGGGGCAGAGGGAGAAGAGGGGCGGCGGGAGAGAGGGGAGGAGAAGAGGUG
rnacentral:lncRNA from 1 species